AUUGAACGCUGGCGGCAGGCCUAACACAUGCAAGUCGAACGGGAACAGGAAGAAGCUUGCUUCUUUGCUGACGAGUGGCGGACGGGUGAGUAAUGUCUGGGAAACUGCCUGAUGGAGGGGGAUAACUACUGGAAACGGUAGCUAAUACCGCAUAACGUCGCAAGACCAAAGAGGGGGACCUUCGGGCCUCUUGCCAUCGGAUGUGCCCAGAUGGGAUUAGCUAGUAGGUGGGGUAACGGCUCACCUAGGCGACGAUCCCUAGCUGGUCUGAGAGGAUGACCCGCCACACUGGAACUGAGACACGGUCCAGACUCCUACGGGAGGCAGCAAUGGGGAAUAUUGCACAAUGGGCGCAAGCCUGAUGCAGCCAUGCCGCGUGUAUGAAGAAGGCCUUCGGGUUGUAAAGUACUUUCAGCGGGGAGGAAGGGAGUCAAGUUAAUACCUUUGCUCAUUGACGUUACCCGCAGAAGAAGCACCGGCUAACUCCGUG
rnacentral:rRNA from 1 species